GACGAACGCUGGCGGCGUGCCUAAUACAUGCAAGUAGAACGCAGUUGCGAACGGGUGAGUAACGCGUAGGUAACUGCCUCAUUGAGGCGGAUAUCUAUUGGCAACGAUAGCUAAUACCGCAUACUGUGAGAUGGACCUGCGUUGUAUUAGCUAGGUGGUGAGGUAAAGGCUCACCAAGGCGACGAUACAUAGCAGCCCUGAGAGGGGGAUCGGUCACACCGGGACUGAGACACGGCCCAUACUUCUACGGGAGGCAGCAGUAGGUAAUCUUCGGAAAAGGACUGGAUUCUGACCGAGGAACGGUGCAGGAGUGAAGGAGGUUGUCCGAUGGUAAAGACAAUGUGUUAGAGAAGCGGUAACUAACCAGAAAGGGACGGCUAACUCCGUGCCAGCAGCCGCGGUAAUAC
rnacentral:rRNA from 1 species